CGUGCUAAUCUGCGAUAAGCGCCGGUAAGGUGAUAUGAACCGUUAUAACCGGCGAUACCCGAAUGGGGAAACCCAGUGUGACUCGUCACACUAUCAUUAACUGAAUCCAUAGGUUAAUGAGGCGAACCGGGGGAACUGAAACAUCUAAGUACCCCGAGGAAAAGAAAUCAACCGAGAUUCCCCCAGUAGCGGCGAGCGAACGGGGAGGAGCCCAGAGCCUGAAUCAGCAUGUGUGUUAGUGGAAGCGUCUGGAAAGGCGCGCGAUACAGGGUGACAGCCCCGUACACAAAAGCGCAUGUGCUGUGAGCUCGAUGAGUAGGGCGGGACACGUGGUAUCCUGUCUGAAUAUGGGGGGACCAUCCUCCAAGGCUAAAUACUCCUGACUGACCGAUAGUGAACCAGUACCGUGAGGGAAAGGCGAAAAGAACCCCGGCGAGGGGAGUGAAAAAGAACCUGAAACCGUGUACGUACAAGCAGUGGGAGCACAGGUUUACCUGUGUGACUGCGUACCUUUUGUAUAAUGGGUCAGCGACUUAUAUUCUGUAGCAAGGUUAACCGCAUAGGGGAGCCGGAGGGAAACCGAGUCUUAAUUGGGCGUUAAGUUGCAGGGUAUAGACCCGAAACCCGGUGAUCUAGCCAUGGGCAGGUUGAAGGUUGGGUAACACUAACUGGAGGACCGAACCGACUAAUGUUGAAAAAUUAGCGGAUGACCUGUGGCUGGGGGUGAAAGGCCAAUCA
rnacentral:rRNA from 1 species